GAGGGUACAGCUCAGUGGAAGAGCACGUGCUUAGCACACUCGAGGUCCUAGGUUCAAUCCCCAGUACCUUCA
rnacentral:tRNA from 1 species